GACGAACGCUGGCGGCGUGCUUAACACAUGCAAGUCGAACGGAAAGGCCCUGCUUUUGUGGGGUGCUCGAGUGGCGAACGGGUGAGCAACACGUGAGUAACCUGCCCUUGACUUUGGGAUAACUUCAGGAAACUGGGGCUAAUACCGGAUAGGAGCUCCUGCUGCAUGGUGGGGGUUGGAAAGUUUCGGCGGUUGGGGAUGGACUCGCGGCUUAUCAGCUUGUUGGUGGGGUAGUGGCUUACCAAGGCUUUGACGGGUAGCCGGCCUGAGAGGGUGACCGGCCACAUUGGGACUGCGAUACGGCCCAGACUCCUACGGGCGGCAGCAGUGGGGAAUAUUGCACAAUGGGCGGAAGCCUGAUGCAGCAACGCCGCGUGCGGGAUGACGGCCUUCGGGUUGUAAACCGCUUUCGCCUGUGACGAAGCGUGAGUGACGGUAAUGGGUAAAGAAGCACCGGCUAACUACGUG
rnacentral:rRNA from 1 species